ACAUCCAGCGAACUUGGCAGAGAUGCCUUGGUGCCUUCGGGAACGCUGAGACAGGUGCUGCAUGGCUGUCGUCAGCUCGUGUUGUGAAAUGUUGGGUUAAGUCCCGNAACGAGCGCAACCCUUAUCCUUUGUUGCCAGCGAUUCGGUCGGGAACUCAAAGGAGACUGCCGGUGAUAAACCGGAGGAAGGUGGGGAUGACGUCAAGUCAUCAUGGCCCUUACGAGUAGGGCUACACACGUGCUACAAUGGCGCAUACAAAGAGAAGCGACCUCGCGAGAGCAAGCGGACCUCAUAAAGUGCGUCGUAGUCCGGAUCGGAGUCUGCAACUCGACUCCGUGAAGUCGGAAUCGCUAGUAAUCGUGGAUCAGAAUGCCACGGUGAAUACGUUCCCGGGCCUUGUACACACCGCCCGUCACACCAUGGGAGUGGGUUGCAAAAGAAGUAGGUAGCUUAACCUCCGGGAGGGCGCUUACCACUUUGUGAUUCAUGACUGGGGUGAAGUCGUAACAAGGUAAGCGUAGCGAG
rnacentral:rRNA from 1 species